GCCGACGACGAAGCUACUGCCCGGUCUCCGCCCCUGCCGACGACGAAGUUGCUGACUCUAAAUUUUGUCUCCCCUGUGAACGAAGGUUGAGGAGAGAAUGAGAAUACAUCACGAGAGGAGAAGUAAAAAAAACUGAAGUGGCUAGAUGAAAAGGAAAAUAGGUAUGUUGUUGGAAGUGGGGCUAAAACUGUUUGCGAAUGCUACUAUGAGCAAGAGAAUAACUGAUAUGGCAAUGCUAAUGUUUGGAAGACUUUCAUAGAUUUAUUCGACUAUUUCCCACAUACAGCUUUGGUUGCUUAUGAUGAUUUUGUUGCUACUGGAUCAUUUGCAGUUGCAAGAGAGAGAUGACUUUCACGGUCUAAUUUUGGUGUAGUCCAGAGAUGACUUUCACGGUCUAAUUUUGGUGAAGGACUACACUUAUCAAAGUCAUUGAAGAAGAAGGUUGUGGAUGAUGCAUUAUCAAAGCCGUUGAAGUAUUGCCGGAUUUGAAGGCUUAUUUGGUGCAACAUACUUAAGUAGUAUUUUUUUUUUAUUAUUAUUAUAAAGAAGGGGAUACCCUAUAUAUACACUACUUGCUCAACUAAGGUUCGAACCCAUCACCUCUCACUUAGGGGAGUAACCGGGUACUAGUGCAUUUAAGUAGUAUCAAUUAAGUAGUAUAUAUUUUCAUGACUUUUUUAUUUAUUUAUGAACAUGACCAUAAUUUUUGU